CGUUUUGUAGAUGGCACCAACUUGAGUUUUAUCAUCAUAGAGCUGCCCACAGAGAACCACAAAGAAUCCUUCAAACCAACUCCGUUUAUUUUCUUUUUCCCAUUCCCUGAAACUUCUUGGAUAAUUAUGGAUUCCCCCUGAGAAUAAUUGAGUUGAAUAGAAAACAAUCUUAUUUUGUUCUAUUUCCUUAUAAAUCCUAAUGUGACACAAAGAAAAGUCUCAUUCGCUCUGGACAAUGAGGCUCCAAGGUAGCUACCAUGUGGCUGAUGAAUAUGCUGAGAUCACUUCCUAUUUCUAUUUGAAACCCUGCUGUUUAAUUUAUAUCUUUAGAAAUUUUUUUAAGGGGGGGGGGGUUGGCUUGGUUUUGCUUUCCCCAACAACAACAGUAAAAUAAUUUUGAUGGUUUUUUUUUUUAAGCCAAAUGGGGACAAAAUGAAAUCACCCCACCAAACGUUUUAACCACUGCCAUGUAUUUUGUGUUCAAAUUGUUUAACCUGUGCCACACUGUCAAAGAUCUCAUCUCAUACCAAAAAGGAAAGAGAAAAUGUUUCUUCUCUGUACAUGAGUUAGUUCACCCUUCUCUGUCUUCUGACCUGUGAAUUUUCUCAAGUGUCAAACCAAGUCUGAAAAAUAGCAGUAUACACAGGUAAGCACUAGCAGGUUCCUAGCACAAGCCCUAUUGGAGAGAGAAAAAUAAACACAAGCAAACCAGCUCUGCCAUGUUUGCUUGGAAAUAGUGGUAAAUGGAAGGAACCCUGAUAUAGUAAUAAACUGUAGUUGAGAGAAUAAUUUUUUUUUAAGAUCACACUUGUCUAAAAACAAAACCAAUAUCCUCGAUCUUUAAGAUCACAAUUGUCUAAAAUUAAAACCAGGGUCCUGGAUCUUUGCAUUUGGCCUACUAUUUUAAUUGUCCAAUUAGCCUUACCUAUUGAUUCCUAAUUGACUGAUAGACUUCUAUAAAGUCUUCAGGGCAAGAGGGCCUGACCUUAAAUAUCAGAACUAAAAUCAAUAAAUACAUUCCAUAAAUAUUUUUUGUCACAUCCAAAUUGUAGUCAACAGUCAGUGGAAAACAAAUGAAUACUUUCUUUUCACCAAGAUGAGAGGCUGUCAGAGGGAAAAUAUAUAUGAUAACUGGGAGCUUCUAAAUAACUCCUCAUGUCUUCUAAAGGAAACAUGUAUGUGAUCACAGAAGGAUUAUAAGGGAACUGAAUAUGCAAAUGAGUCCUGGUAACAGAGGCUGCCUUUCUACUCUUGGAACUCCUGAUUAUAUUUAAAACAUGAAUAUGCUAGUUAACUCAAAGGAAUCCCAGCCAAUCUGAUUCUAAGUUUGCUGGUGUCUUCUUGAUCCAUUGGCUAGAUUCUGUUUGUUUGGAAUAUUGGUGCCAGUCUUUAUUAAAAUUCUUGCCAAAAUUUUUGCAGGAAUAUAAAAAAUAGUGACCCAUUUUAAGUAGCCCCCAUAUGAUGAAAUGUGGAUUUCAGGGAAACGAUUCAGUUUGGACACCUAGGCUAUAACAUCUUUGUGGUUUUUCAAUAACUUAUAGAGACUCAUUGGAACAGAUUAAAUGGCUAGCCAAACAAAGCUAGAUAUGUGUUUUUAAAAAAUCGAUUCUAAAGUGGGUGUGUGAAACAGUGCAGAAAAGGAGAGCUAUUCAGGAAAAAGAAAAUCUUAAUGCAUUUAAGUGUUAAAUGGUUUUUAUAUGAGUAAAAAUCAAAUGAAAGGAGAUUAUUUAUAUAUGUAUGUACCGAUAUACCACCCAUUUGAGGAAGCCUCCAUUGUAAUAAAGCCUAUUUUUAAUAUGUCAUAGUAUUUGACCUAUAUUAUGUUGCCUACGGCAGGAAAGGAUGAAAUUUAGGUUCUUAUUUCAUAGUUACCUAGUUCAGUAUGUAUCUGUUAAACUCAGUUGGGUUGGCAAGUUCUUACUGAAUAUUAAAGGAGGAACUGGUUGAGAAAAUUUUCACAGACUCAUUGCAUUGCCCCUGUCCUCCCAGUUGUCUGUCCUGCAUCCAGACUGUAUUGAAAUUAAGAGUAAAGAAUCGAUCUAUCUUGAUGGCGACAUCAAAUAUGAUUUUGGAAAAGACUUGGGUUUCGGUCAAUCUCGAAAUUUUCCUUAACAUAAAAUCAAUCCUAUUAUCAAGCUCUUGGUCAGGGAUGGUUUCAGUGGUUGAUUUAUUGUUCAUGGUACUUUGUGCAAUGAGAGUGCUAAAGUCUACCACCAAGCCCAGUGAGUGUUCAUGAGCCUCCACUUAGUGCACCCACCCCCUUUCAAUCAGGUUAAUGAUUUCUUUUGUUUUAACUUGAUGCUUAUACAUAAAUGCCACUGCCAAGAUUGGAUAAUGUCAACAAUGCCCUUUGAUUCACUAUCACUCCUAAUUCACCAUGCAGCAGUGAUAAAAGAUAGGAGGGAGCCAUUUCAAGCCCUCCAGAAACCAUCACCUUUAUGACCACCACCAUUUCCCACAUCAGCUAGUCCACCCUGGUCUGCCCAGCCAUUGAUCAUAUUCACUGCUGAGGCUUACUGCCAUGAUUUCUGAUUUUACAAAGGAAUCCAUUCAUCCUCAGUUCCUUCCGUCCACCCUUGGGCGACUGUGCUGUUCAUUGUACUACCUCCAGGGAAUGGUGAAUGAUGAAACAGAAAGGAGGUAAAACUCAAAUCAGUCCAAUUUACUACUCAUACAAUCAUCCGAUAACUUUUAGGUUGAUUUGGUUACAAUGAGGUAUAAUGGGUUUAUCUGCAGAUUUGGAUUACCCAACCCUUCUUGUUCCCCAUUUACUACAGUUUGUGAAGAGUUAACCAAAGUCUUUGAAGAUGAUAAAUGGGAAGGGGGGAAAGGUGCUAAAAGCAUAAAUGUUGAUUUGGCUUCCUUCACUGUUGUGAUUUCUUUGACAUCUCUAUACUUUUUACCAGGCCAAAGAUGAAUUAAUUUAUUCAUCAGAGAACAGAACCUCAACUGUUGGGCAAAUCCACUUUAAAUUUUUAAAUCUCUAAGAAAGAUGUGUUUAAUUUCUGUGCUUUGAAUGAUUCUCCUUUCUUGUAUGAAGGCAGGAUGGUUUCUAUAUUCUGGUAGAUCUGAACGAUAGUUCCAAAUGGACAUAAUGCCCAUUUUUUUUUUUUCAUUUUUAGAGUUGGACAUUACUCAGCUCCCUGGUAAAAGAAUAUAGUUAAAGGUGCUUUAUUUCACAGCAUAAAAUAUUUUCAUUCUAAUUCUUUGCAAAAAUGAGCUAGUUCCUAAGCAUCAUGGAGGCACUUAGAAAAUUUAUCCCCAUUUAAAUGGGAGGGAGAAAAACCAUUAAAACAGAACAACAAUCCUCGGCGUGUGAGCAAAUCCAUGGAUAUAAUUGGAACCACAAAGCUAAGAACAAACAAAAAACCCUCUUGAUGUGUUGAUGAAAAUUUCGUUUCUAUUAGAAUGAGACAUGGCUUCUUUAAAGAAUCUUUGCAGACCUCAUGGUAACCAAAUCCUAGACCAUUGAACCUCUGAAUGCCAUUCAUUUAUGAACCUUAUUUAUCAAAGAGCAUUUUUGUCCUGCUGUCUCUGAUUGUCAUGGAAAGUUCUGUAAUGCUAAGGUGUUUCAGGUUUUCUUUUUUCUUUCUUAUUUUUUUUUAAUUUCUUACUUUAUUUUUUCCAUUUGUACCACAGUCCAACUAGCUACCAUUUCCCCCACUCCUUGGGCUUUCUGUAGAUCAGUGGAUGUUAGGUUUAAACUUCUGUUUUCUUUGAUGAAGCUUUCAAUAAAAAAUGAAAACAAAA
rnacentral:lncRNA from 1 species